rnacentral:tRNA from 2 species
GCGAGCGUAGUUCAACGGUAGAACGGUUCCUUUAAUUCAAUAUAGCCUACCUUCCAAUGCAGGUUCGACUCCUGCCGCUCGCA